rnacentral:rRNA from 1 species
GUAAUGAAUCGUACCUGCUCUAUGAGUUUUAAAUGGCCGCAGUAUCUUGACUGUGCGAAGGUAGCAUAAUAAUUUGCCUUAUAAUUGAAGGCUUGGAUGAAUGGUUUGACGAGAAUAAAACUGUCUCUUAUUAAAUUCAUAGAAUUUUAUUUUUAAGUGAAGAAGCUUAGUUUUAAUUAAUAGACAAGAAGACCCUAUCGAUUUUUAAUUUUAUUUAAAGAUAUAAAUAAAUAUAGGUUAUAUUUAGGUUUUAUGGAGAAAUUUUUGUUGGGGCGACUGAGGAGUAUAUGAAGCCUCCUUAAUAGAUAAGUGAAAUGACUGUUAUUGAUCCAUAUAUAUAUGAUUAGUGGACUAAAUUACCGUAGGGAUAACAGCAUAAUUUUUUUUUAGAGUUCUUAUUGAAAAGAAAGUUUGUGACCUCGAUGUUGGAUCAAAACAUCCUAAAGGUGCAGUCGUUUUUAAGGGUUAGUCUGUUCGACUAUUAAAGUUUUA